GGGGCGGUGGUCCCGGCAUGCACUGCGAAGCUCCUACUCCCACAGCUAACCCCUCCUUCACUGCCAUAGACACUCCCGCGAUCCGUGGGGAAUCCCUCCUCUCAGGCGUUAGCGCGGGCUCCUCCAAAUCGCGCCCUUACGCUCUCACGAUAUCUUGUUACGUCACGGAUGGUCGCCAUCUUGGACUCUGGCUGAGUAAUAAAUUCUCCCGCACGAGAGCGCGGGCUUUCUUGACACGCGCUUUGCUGGGAGAGCGUCUGCUUCUCCGCGUCCUUCUCGUGGCCCUGCGGUCGGUGGUUUCCGCGUGGCCCGGAGCGAGGCUGAGAUCUGUAUCUGUGGACCUGAAUGUUGAUCCCUCGCUUCAGAUUGACAUACCUGAUGCACUCAGUGAGAGAGAUAAGGUCAAAUUUACAGUGCACACCAAGACAACGCUGCCCACGUUUCAGAGCCCAGAGUUUUCUGUUACAAGGCAACAUGAAGACUUUGUGUGGCUACAUGAUACUCUUAUUGAAACUGCAGACUAUGCUGGGCUUAUCAUUCCGCCUGCUCCUACAAAGCCUGACUUCGAUGGCCCUCGAGAAAAGAUGCAGAAACUGGGAGAGGGUGAAGGGUCUAUGACCAAAGAAGAAUUUGCUAAGAUGAAGCAAGAGCUGGAAGCUGAGUAUCUUGCAGUCUUUAAGAAGACUGUGUCCUCUCAUGAAGUCUUUCUGCAGCGGCUCUCCUCUCACCCUGUUCUCAGUAAAGAUCGCAACUUCCAUGUGUUCCUGGAAUAUGAUCAGGAUCUAAGUGUCAGGCGGAAAAAUACCAAAGAGAUGUUUGGUGGCUUUUUCAAAAGUGUGGUGAAAAGUGCUGAUGAAGUCCUUUUUUCUGGAGUUAAAGAGGUAGAUGACUUCUUUGAGCAAGAAAAGAAUUUCCUCAUUAACUAUUAUAAUAGGAUCAAGGAUUCAUGUGCAAAAGCUGACAAAAUGACCCGAUCUCAUAAAAAUGUUGCAGAUGACUAUAUCCACACUGCAGCCUGCCUGCAUAGCCUGGCUUUAGAAGAGCCCACGGUCAUCAAAAAGUACCUUUUGAAGGUUGCUGAGCUAUUUGAAAAACUUAGGAAAGUAGAGAGUCGAGUCUCCUCAGAUGAAGAUUUAAAGCUGACGGAACUUCUCCGAUACUACAUGCUCAACAUAGAGGCUGCUAAGGAUCUCUUAUACAGACGCACCAAAGCCCUCACCGACUAUGAGAACUCAAACAAAGCAUUGGAUAAGGCCAGGUUGAAAAGCAAAGAUGUCAAGUUGGCUGAGGCACACCAGCAAGAAUGCUGCCAGAAAUUUGAACAGCUCUCUGAAUCUGCAAAAGAAGGUGGAGCAGGGCUAUUCUUUACUUUUUGCUUUUUAUUUGGAAAUAAUUUCAAGCUCACAGAGAAAAGUUGCACAGAAAGUAAAAAGAACACCCAUAUAUUUUUUACUUGGAGUCACCUAGCUGUCUAGUUUGCCCCUUCUGCUUCGUCUCUUGCACGUGCACCCAUGCUGCCACGUUUGUGUUUAUAAAUACAUGUGGGGUGGUCUUUUCUUUUUUAGCCAUUUGAGAUUAAGUUGUAUGUAUUAUGGUCCUUUUAUCCCUAAGCUUUGUUGAGUAUUUGUCUUACACUUACCCACUUUGGUAAACUUUAAUACAACACACUCCAACCUGCUCUCUCUAUUCUCAUCUUAUUGUUGGCCCUAAUAAUGGCUUCCCGUCUGGGGUUGCCAUUAGGUUACCAUUGCUCUUGUGUCUCCUCUAAUUUGGAAGGAACCCUUCUCAGGCCCCCACCCCUUCACCUUUUUUUAAAAUGACAUUUGCCUUUUUGGAGACCAUAGUCUCUACAAACAGUGUUCUUCAUUUUCAGAUGGUCUAUUUCUGCAACGAAUAGUUGCUAGUUAUGCAUUUCCAACAGAAUAUUCUGUGAGUAAUGUGUCUUUUGGGUGUCACAUCUGAGGGCAUGUUCUGUUCGUUUUCUCCUCAUUUGUGGUGUUAAUUUCUUUGCUGUAUAGUUAAUACCCACGUCACUAAUCAACUGUGUGAGGAGACCAUUUAAAAACCCUGCAGAUAGUUUCUCCCUAAAUUUAGACUGUGUUGAGUCUUGCCUGAGCCAGCUCCUACUGUGCUGGUUGCAGAAAGACGAUUCCCUGCUCCCCAGUUCUAGUGUUCUCUUCCCAAGCCUUUGGCAUCAUCAUCAUCCAUUAAGCACAAGCCUUCCCUUCUUUUGCACAUUUCCUUUCUUGUCAUUGUUAGUCAUGGGUUUCUAUUUUUGAAAAUAGUUUUUAAAUUCAUUAUUGUAGUGCAUUAUUUUGGCGCUCAAUUUGUCCAGACUUAGAGGGAAGCACCUUUAAGUUGGCAUGUCCUAUAUCUUCUCUAGCCCUAGAAAUCACCAUUUCUUCCAGAAGUGUAGGUUCUGUUUAGUUACAGAAUUGUGACAAGAUUAGGGUGUUGAGUGUGCUCAUUUCUCCUGGGGUGUCUCUCUAGGCCCUUCAGGAGACAGAGCCAGGAAAUGGAGUGGUGUGUAACUCUCUCCAGGAGUCAUGGUAGCGAUACAGUUCCAGUCCACAGCCGCAGGGUUCUUUUUUGCCUUAUCUCAUUCCAGAGUAGGGGGGAUUAUGGCUUAACUUUAUUGGGAGAUAGUGUUCCAUUUCCACAGAACAGGAGUGUAAAUUGUAGUCUUUUCCUUAUUAGGCACGGGGUGGAGGGAUGGGGUGGUCUAACCUGCAGUUCUCAGGAGCCAUGGAACAUGCUAGAGCAAAAGUCAAGAAUGUGUUUUCCUGAAUGUAAUUAUAGUGGUAACUGUACUUGAUUCACUCCCAGACCUUGGCUUUCUGUGACAAAUCCCUAGCUCAUUUUAAGACUGUUUUCUCAGAAUUCCCCCUCCCCGCAAACCUUUGGUUCCAAAAUCCAGGCAUAUCUGAAAACAUCCUGAUACUAGCAAUAAGCAAUAGAGUUCUUGUCCUUUGUUUUGUCUUGGCUUAUGUUUUCAGUACUAUAACUUAGCUGUAAGGGACAGAGCUUCUCUGUACAGAAAUCUUGCAAAAGCCAUGCCGAUAUGCUCAUGUGGCCAUCUUUUGGAUUCUUUUGAGGGAACCUUCUUGCUGCCAUGGUAAAAUAAAUUCUUGUCCUUUGUUUAAUUAGCUAAUUUUAGGUUUUUGAGAACAAACUUCAAAACUAUGGAGUUGAAAUCUUAGAUUAUUAUGUAGGUCAAAGUUUGGUAGCUCUGACAACUUUAGAGAGGAUUAAGGAAAAACUACAAAACUUUAAAGUGCUGCCAAUUUAGGCCUGUCCUGAUUGCCUAAGGUUUGUCCAUGUGUUGUUGGAUUUUUAUCCUCUUUAUUCAAAAGUGUAAGCCUGGGUGUACUGUAUUUAAAAGUACAGUGUUCUAUAGGAUACUGUAAUGAAUGGAUCUUAACCUGUUUACCUCUGAUCCGAGUUCUUUCUAAACUUCAUAGCUGAACUGAUGAGUUAGUUGAAUGAGCAUGGUACAAGUGAUAGUGUGGGCAGGCAUCAUGGGUGGUCUGACAGGUUAGUGUUGAGUCCUGGUCCUGGGUGCAGGCCUAGAGUCGGGAGGUGAGUUUAUCUGGACAUCCAGAAAGACCUGUUUACUAUAUCCAAGGUAGUGUUACUAACUUAUCAUUGUAAGUGUUCUUGCAAGUUUUUACUUUUUCAUGUGGCUGCUUUCGUAUUUCUUUUGGUUAGUGCUGCACAGACCUGAUACAGGAGGGUAUGUUUGCUCCUGAGGACUAGAGCACCAGCUUGAUCUGGGAGAUUUGAGCAAAGGAGUGGUGGUUCUCAUGGAAAGAAUCUGAGGGAGGAAGUACUUACUUUUGGCUUACCCUGAUUUCUAAUAGGGCAAUAGUCCUGAACAGUAUUUGGCAAUAGAAAGAAUAGAUGUAAAGGUGGCCUGUUGUACAGAUCACAUCCACAGAGAAGCUGUCUGAACAUGAGUGGUCAUUUGAAAGUUUGAAAAUAAUCGUUUAAAAUAGUCAUUGGCGCAGGUAUGUAUGACUCACGACCUCUCCCGGCCCUCUUUCCACAAGCACUGGGAGUUAGAGGUUUGGGGCAAGACUGACCAUUUCAGAGAUUCUCCUAAGUAGUCCGUGGCAUUAUCUGGAUUUUGAUGUUCAGUGAUUGAGUGCGGUGUUCAUUUUAAAGGCAGUGGCAGGCACGUUACUACGUUGUCCAUAAAAUGUCAGGUGUGUGUCCCAAUCACUGAGGUAAUAAAAAUGUGAGAAAAUGCGUGUAUCAAAGCUUUGAAGAUUGUAAGAAUGAUAUUUGGAAGUUAAAGAUGAAAAUUGUUCAGCUUUUGUCGGUAAACUCUCUUGCAGAACUAAUCAACUUCAAACGAAAGAGAGUGGCAGCAUUUAGAAAGAAUCUAAUUGAAAUGUCUGAACUGGAAAUAAAGCAUGCCAGGAACAAUGUUUCCCUCCUGCAGAGCUGCAUUGACUUGUUUAAGAACAACUGAUCUGCCUUUUCUCUGAAUGAAGGACACAAAUGUGAAGCCAGCGUCACUUGCACUUAAAUCAUUACCACAGAAGAUUUAUUACCUUUGACUUUAGUUUAAAAUUAUGUGAAUAAAUAUUUUGAUUUCUAAAAAUCUUAACACUUAA